rnacentral:rRNA from 1 species
GAGUUUGAUCCUGGCUCAGAACGAACGCUGGCGGCAGGCUUAACACAUGCAAGUCGAACGGGCCCUUCGGGGUCAGUGGCAGACGGGUGAGUAACGCGUGGGAACGUGCCCUUCAGUUCGGGAUAACCCAGGGAAACUUGGGCUAAUACCGGAUACGUGCGAGAGCAGAAAGAUUUAUCGCUGAAGGAUCGGCCCGCAUCUGAUUAACUGGUUGGUGGGGUAAUGGCCCACCAAGGCGACGAUCAGUAGCUGGUCUGAGAGGAUGAUCAGCCACAUUGGGACUGAGACACGGCCCAAACUCCUACGGGAGGCAGCAGUGGGGAAUAUUGGACAAUGGGCGCAAGCCUGAUCCAGCCAUGCCGCGUGAGUGAUGACGGCCUUAGGGUUGUAAAGCUCUUUCGCACGCGACGAUAAUGACGGUAGCGUGAGAAGAAGCCCCGGCUAACUUCGUGCCAGCAGCCGCAGU